rnacentral:rRNA from 1 species
AUUGAACGCUGGCGGCAUGCUUUACACAUGCAAGUCGAACGGUAACAGGCCGCAAGGUGCUGACGAGUGGCGAACGGGUGAGUAAUGCAUCGGAACGUGCCCAGUCGUGGGGGAUAACGCAGCGAAAGCUGCGCUAAUACCGCAUACGAACUAUGGAUGAAAGCGGGGGACCGCAAGGCCUCGCGCGAUUUGUGCGGCCGGUGUCAGAUUAGGUAGUUGGUGGGGUAAAGGCUCACCAAGCCAACGAUCUGUAGCUGGUCUGAGAGGACGACCAGCCACACUGGGACUGAGACACGGCCCAGACUCCUACGGGAGGCAGCAGUGGGGAAUUUUGGACAAUGCGCGCAAGCCUGAUCCAGCAAUGCCGCGUGCAGGAAGAAGGCCUUCGGGUUGUAAACUGCUUUUGUACGGAACGAAACGGUCCUGGUUAAUACCCGGGGCUAAUGACGGUACCGUAAGAAUAAGCACCGGCUAACUACGUGCCAGCCGCCGCCGUAAUAC